UUCCGGUUGAUCCUGCCGGAGGCCACUGCUAUCGGGGUUCGACUAAGCCAUGCGAGUCGUAUGUUCCCCUUCGGGGGAGCAUGGCGCACUGCUCAGUAACACGUGGAUAACCUACCCUUGGGACAGGGAUAACCCCGGGAAACUGGGGAUAAUACCUGAUAGACCAUGGAGGCUGGAAGGCGCCAUGGUUCAAAGGGGCAACCGCCCGCCCAAGGAUGGGUCUGCGGCCUAUCAGGUUGUAGUGGGUGUAACGCACCUACUAGCCUACGACGGGUACGGGCUGUGGGAGCAGGAGCCCGGAGAUGGAUUCUGAGACAUGAAUCCAGGCCCUACGGGGUGCAGCAGGCGCGAAAACUUUACAAUGCGGGAAACCGUGAUAAGGGAACCUCGAGUGCCGAUGCAUAGCAUCGGCUGUCCAGAUGCCUAAAAAGCAUCUGAUAGCAAGGGCCGGGCAAGACCGGUGCCAGCCGCCGCGGUAACACCGGCGGCUCGAGUGGUGGCCACUUUUAUUGGGUCUAAAGCGUCCGUAGCCGGCUUGGCAAGUCCCCUGGGAAAUCUGGCGGCUUAACCGUCAGGCGUCCAGAGGAUACUGCCAGGCUUGGGACCGGGAGAGGUGAGAGGUACCUCAGGGGUAGGGGUGAAAUCUUGUGAUCCCUGAGGGACCACCAGUGGCGAAGGCGUCUCACUAGAACGGGUCCGACGGUCAGGGACGAAAGCUGGGGGCACGAACCGGAUUAGAUACCCGGGUAGUCCCAG
rnacentral:rRNA from 3 species